UAUACUAUUAGUUUGUGUUUUAGUAUAGAUUAUGAUAGAAUAAUAUUGUCUCAACAGUGCGGGCGUGGUGGAAUUGGUAGACG
rnacentral:tRNA from 1 species